GCUCUAUAAGGAACUGUGUUUUGACAUUCUCCUAGUCCUUUGUUUGCUUAACUAUCAUUCUAAACCACAUAUUCUCGUGAUGAGGGAGACCCCAUGAAAAAGGAGGCUGGACAAUAGCAGGCAGUAUAAAUCUACUCCAUCACACAAGCUGUUGAAAACAGUAAAAAAUGAGAAGCUUUUACUCAAGGUGGGACUGACCUCAAAUGGGCCGUUCGAGGCAGAGGGGAGCAGCUGGAGACUGCGGUGUGUGAACAGGCUGUUUGUUGAGCACUUGCAUUAAUCCAAGAGAAACCAGGAAAUCAGACUCAGUGCAAGGAUAUGCUUAUUGAUUUUAAAGAGCAAGAAGAAGGGAAAGAGAGAGAGAGA